UACGUAGGGUGCAAGCGUUGUCCGGAAUUAUUGGGCGUAAAGAGUUCGUAGGCGGUUUGUCGCGUCGUUUGUGAAAACCAGCAGCUCACUGCUGGCUUGCAGGCGAUACGGGCAGACUUGAGUACUGCAGGGGAGACUGGAAUUCCUGGUGUAGCGGUGAAAUGCGCAGAUAUCAGGAGGAACACCGGUGGCGAAGGCGGGUCUCUGGGCAGUAACUGACGCUGAGGAACGAAAGCGUGGGUAGCGAACAGG
rnacentral:rRNA from 1 species